UUCCGGUUGAUCCUGCCGGACCUGACUGCUAUCGGAUUGAUACUAAGCCAUGCGAGUCUUUGCAGUAAUGCAAGGCAUACGGCUCAGUAACACGUAGUCAACUCACCCUAUGGACGAGGAUAAUCUCGGGAAACUGAGCAUAAUACUCGAUAGAUCAUAAUGCCUGGAAUGGUUUAUGGUUGAAAUGAUUCGUCGCCAUAGGAUGGGACUGCGGCCUAUCAGCUUGUUGGUGAGGUAAUGGCCCACCAAGGCGAUUACAGGUACGGGCUCUGAGAGGAGAAGCCCGGAGAUGGGUACUGAGACAAGGACCCAGGCCCUAUGGGGCGCAGCAGGCGAGAAAACUUUGCAAUGUGCGAAAGCACGACAAGGUUAAUCCGAGUGAUUUCUGCUAAAGAAAUCUUUUGCAAGUCAUAAAACCACUAGUGAAUAAGGGGUGGGCAAGUUCUGGUGUCAGCCGCCGCGGUAAAACCAGCACCUCAAGUGGUCAGGAGGAUUAUUGGGCCUAAAGCAUCCGUAGCCGGCUCUGUAAGUUUUCGGUUAAAUCCAUGUGCUCAACGCAUGGGCUGCCGAAAAUACUGCAUAGCUAGGGAGUGGGAGAGGUAGACGGUACUCGGUAGGAAGGGGUAAAAUCCUUUGAUCUAUCGAUGACCACCUGUGGCGAAGGCGGUCUACCAGAACACGUUCGACGGUGAGGGAUGAAAGCUGGGGGAGCAAACCGGAUUAGAUACCCGGGUAGUCCCAGCCGUAAACGAUGCAGACUCGAUGAUGCAUUGGCAUAUAGCCAGUGCAGUGUCGCAGGGAAGCCGUUAAGUCUGCCGCCUGGGAAGUACGUACGCAAGUAUGAAACUUAAAGGAAUUGGCGGGGGAGCACCACAAGGGGUGAAGCCUGCGGUUCAAUUGGAAUCAACGCCGGA
rnacentral:rRNA from 1 species